CAUGCAAGUCGAACGGCAGCACGCGGGCAACCCCGGUGGCGAGUGGCGAACGGGUGAGUAAUACAUCGGAACGUAUCUUCGAGUGGGGGAUAACGCACCGAAAGGUGUGCUAAUACCGCAUAAUCUCUCCGGAGAAAAGCAGGGGAUCGAAAGACCUUGCGCUCCUAGAGCGGCCGAUGUCUGAUUAGCUAGUUGGUGGGGUAAAGGCUUACCAAGGCGACGAUCAGUAGCUGGUCUGAGAGGACGACCAGCCACACUGGGACUGAGACACGGCCCAGACUCCUACGGGAGGCAGCAGUGGGGAAUUUUGGACAAUGGGGGAAACCCUGAUCCAGCCAUGCCGCGUGAGUGAAGAAGGCCUUCGGGUUGUAAAGCUCUUUCAGCCGGAACGAAACGGUCACGGCUAAUACCCGUGACUACUGACGGUACCGGAAGAAGAAGCACCGGCUAACUACGUGCCAGCAGCCGCCGUAAUACGUAGGGUGCGAGCGUUAAUCCGAAUUACUGGGCGUAAAGCUGCGCAAGCCGUUUUGUAAGUCAGAUGUGAAAUCCCCGGGCUUAACCUGGGAACUGCGUUUGAAACUACAAGGCUAGAGUGUGGCAGAGGGGGGUGGAAUUCCACGUGUAGCAGUGAAAUGCGUAGAGAUGUGGAGGAACACCGAUGGCGAAGGCAGCCCCCUGGGCCAAUACUGACGCUCAUGCACGAAAGCGUGGGGAGCAAACAGGAGUAGAUACCCUGGUAGUCCACGCCCUAAACGAUGUCAACUAGUUGUUGGGGAUUCAUUUCCUUAGUAACGUAGCUAACGCGUGAAGUUGACCGCCUCCCCACUACGCCCCCAACAUUAAAACUCAAAGGAAUGGACGGGAACCCGCACAAGCGGUGGAUGAUGUGCAUUAAUCCGAUGCAACGCGAAAAACCUUACCUACCCUUGACAUGGUCGGAAUCCUGCUGAGAGGUGGGAGUGCUCGAAAGAGAACCGGCGCACAGGUGCUGCAUGGCUGUCGUCAGCUGGUGUCCUGAGAUGUUGGGUUAAGUCCCGAAAAGAGCGCAACCCUUGUCCUUAGUUGCCAUCUUACGCAAGAGCACUCCAAGGAGACUGCCGGUGACAAACCGGAGGAAGGUGGGGAUGACGUCAAGUCCUCAUGGCCCUUAUGGGUAGGGCUUCACACGUCAUACAAUGGUCGGAACAGAGGGUUGCCAACCCGCGAGGGGGAGCUAAUCCCAGAAAACCGAUUGUAGUCCGGAUUGCACUCCCCAACUGGAGUGCAUCAAGCUGGAAUCGCUAGUAAUCGACGAUCAGCAUCCCGCCCUGAAUACCUUCCCGGAUUUUGCACACACCCCCCCUCACACCAGGGGAGUGGGCUUCACCAGAAGUGGGUAGUCUAACGGCAAGGAGG
rnacentral:rRNA from 1 species